GCCUACGGCUUCCAGAAGGCUGUGCGGCACAGGCGAGCCAAGCCGGGCUGACCCAGUGCCUGGGGGCGGUAUUUCUCCGGGCUCUUGAAAGGCAAGGAAGUGAGGCCCAGAGAGUACGAGGGAGGAAAUACGUUUAUUCCUGUCCUCGAGGCAGGAUGAAUGUGGAAAUGCUGGUGCGAAUGUGUGUUUAAGUACAGCGAGGACUCUUGAUUAUCCAGUAUCCUUGCCUUUUGAGGACGCUUUCUCAAGAAGGACGAGUGGGUCUCUCUCAGCCCCUGGCUCCUCUGCUGCCUCGACCUCGGGUUUCGGGUUUCGGUGCAGGAGCCACCAGGUCAAGAACCACGCCUCACACAACCAGCCCCGAAAAUGGCACAGAAAUGGCAUCAAGAAAUUCCAUCACAAAGAAGCUUUCAAAUUACCAGCUUCUAGAGGAUAAAGAUCCUUUACUUUAAAUCCUCAGUGAAGCCCUGGCCUCUAGAAGGCAACAAACAAGAUUGUCUCCAUCCCCUCCGAGUUUACAGCCUCGCACAAGAAGUAGGUGGACCCUAUUGUAUCAAUAAAUAAAAGGUUUGAUCAUCAUCUCGACCAAACUGCCAUUAUCCAAGCCUUCAAAUCAUACUGAGUGUAUAUAACCACG